rnacentral:rRNA from 1 species
CGGACCAAGGAGUUUAGCGUGUGCGCAAGUCACUGGGUGGAAAACCUAAAGGCGAAAUGAAAGUAAAGGGGGCCUCUGGCCCCCGAGGGAAGAUGGGCGUCCGUCCUUCGCAGGCGGCGCCCCGCACUCCCGGGGCGUCUCUUUCUCGUUACGAGUGGAGGCGCACCUGUAGCGCACACGCUGAUACCCGAAAGAUGGUGAACUAUGCCUGGCCAGGACGAAGCCAGGGGAAACCCUGGUGGAGGUCCGCAGCGAUUCUGACGUGCAAAUCGAUCGUCGGAGCUGGGUAUAGGGGCGAAAGACCAAUCGAACCAUCUAGUAGCUGGUUCCUUCCGAA